UUUUUUUUCUUUUUUUUUUUUACAACAAUGAAGGUAACAACUGUUGACUGUUAUUCUUACGAAUGUAGCAAUAAAAGAAAUUAAAAGUUAAUACAUUUGAUACAUUUUAAUUCUAAAAAAUCUGACAUCCACUCAAGAAUAUUCUUACGUGCUGAAGCUUCUCCGUUGUCACAGGGACUGUCAGUCGGUGCCGCAACAUUCAGGGGACCUUGGAGUGUUCACAUUAUUUACAUAAUUUCAGUGUUUAGAUUUCUGGAACACGUUGUUGAUGCUUCCCCUGUAUAUCAGUUUAUGAACAAAAUGUAACUUGUGUGUAGAUACUUUUUUUUUUUAGCUGUGUAAAUAGAAUAAUUUGACCUUGAACUCUAGAGCACUUACUUUGAAGUUGUUGUUAAAAAAUUAUUUUUUUUUUUAAUCUUUGUAAGUAUUUCAUUCAAAUAUUUUGUGUAAUAUACGUUUCUCUUGUUUACCAGAUUUUUGGAAUUAUCAGCUGGUACUUCAUGUUCUUGUCUUUAUUGUUACCAUAAGUUGUAGUCCUCUAGACCAGUGUUUCUCAAACUGUGUUCCUUGGAACACUAGGAUUUUGUGAGGCCUGACUAGUUGUUCCAUGAACCAUUGGAGUAAUUAACUCGUAGGCCUCUAGGACUAUCAAUUUCACAGAAAAUGCAGAGCCUCUAGGAAAAUCAAUUUCGCAGAACAGAAAAAUUGAUUUUAUUAGCUCCUCUUUGCAACAGGAAAAAAUUCUAUAACAACACACUAUGAACUGCUCCAGAUUUUAAUUUGAAACAAAGAUAUGCCUACAAAGAUCAACCAUUAAAUGACUUCUGGUCCAAGAGUAGCCUACCACAAUAUUUUAGAACAAAUUACAAAUAUUUUACUUCCUUGUUCCUAAAAUCUAUUUGUGCAAAGCAGCAUUUUGUAGUUUAAUUAUUUGUUUGACAUUACCCCAGAGAUUGGAAAUUAACUUAUCAAUAUCAUUAUGUUCUUCAAAGACUCCAUACCAUUAUCCCCAUCAAAGUCAUCAAACCUUAAUUUGCCUAAUGCUAAACAAAAAGUCUUCUGCACAAUUCUCAGAAUGUGUGAAGUGUUCCGUUAAAGAAACACUGGCCUAGACUAAUUCUUUAGGGUUAGUCUACAGUAGAAGUUCUAGACUGCACUGCUAGGGGUAAAACAAAAUGUAUCAAAGAAACUCAUUAAAAAUAUAUUCAACUUCAUUGUAAAAGAAUUUAUUUCAAGGUCAAUAUUCUAUCUUUCACUAUUCUAAAGUUAUUUGAAAAAUUACAAGAAUUUGCCUUGUUUGUUUUUCAAUAUAUAAACCAGUAUUUUAUCAUAACGUAUUUAUAUUUUUAGUCAAAUUUUAUGUUUUUGCUGUUCACUUUUUAAUCAGUACAUGAAUUGUUUCCCUUUGUACAGAUUAUUUAAUGACACUAAAUUAAUGAUGUUUUUGAGAUGUCAGCCAGUCAAUUAAUAUGCAGGUGUUCUUGCUCUACAUUCUUCUGUCAUAUGGUUUGAUUGACCUAUGAACUUGUUUACCAACAGUCCUUUGAUGUAUAAUUGAAUGGAUGUGUGUGUGUGUUUUUUUUCCAUUUUUUCACACUAUCACAGCAUUGCUGGGUUCUUUCAAUAAUAGAGGGGGGGGUGGUGGUUUUGUUUGUUUGUUUUUUUACUUUCAAAGUCAUGGGUGAUUUGAUGUGAAACUUUUUGAUUUCAUGUUUAGAGAACUCUUAAGUUUGUGUGAAAGAAAGUGAAACCACAUUUCUCAAACAUUUUUUUUUUUUUUGGCCACAGUCAAAGAAAUGUUUUAAAAUGUAAAAGUAAGUCUCUAGUUUAUUUCUUUCCUUUGUUUGUUGCUCUUUGGUUGUUUCUUCUUUCUUUUUUUUUUCUCUGUAAGGUGAAAGGUGGUUGGCUUUACAGAGGUUAAACACACACACCCCAAAAAAAAAUGUAUUAAAGACCAGCUUAUUAAGCACCAACUUGCUUUAACUGACCUGGAAGAGAGCAUCUGACAGCAGGCGGCUUCCAAAUGAGACAGGGUUCUUACCAAGGGUACAGGAUACACGUUUAAGAACAAAAAGAAACUUUACUGCCGAGAAUAGACGUAAUCAGCGAUAAGAGAACCUUAUUCGACCACUGUUAGUUAUGUCUGUGCUGAAUCUGGCAAAAUAUCUAGGUCACAGCCAGGACUGCGUAGCCACAUGAAAUACUGCACUUUUCCUUAAUCUUUGUAAGGCAAGCUUUGUUAUUAUUUUAUGAACAUAUGUUGUGUGCCAUCCAUUCUAUGUAUUUUGAAAUCUCAAAGGAGUGUUGCCACACCUGGGUGUAGGCCUAUCUAGAGGGUAGAAAAACUUCCUUGGUGUUUCUAUGUAUAGCAAUAUUAAAAUUAUUGAAUUUUAAGGAUAAAUACAGGUACGCUGUUAAAAUUCUUCUUUCGUAUCCGUCAAAAAUGUGUCCUAACAUAACGCCUGCUGCGUCUGCUUAAAAUGUUACUGGUUGCCUGCUUCAAGACUUUAUUUUGAAUUUUUGAAAAAAUCAAGGGGAAGCAACA